rnacentral:lncRNA from 1 species
GCUAAACCAGAGCUGAUUCUCUAGGAAAACACAAUGGAAACACUUCUAAAAGUGUGUAGCCUGUAGCAAAGGUACUGGGCUUGGUACAAUCUUCUGCAGCAAGCGAGUGGGAAUUUGGCUGUACAAUAUGCCCAUCGAGUGAUGGAGACUCAGAAGUCCAUCAUCCAAACAUGCUCUGCUUGACCAACCAAGCCCAUUCAGCAUCCAAAAUCCACAAAAGAAAAAGCUGAAUGCCAACAAGCAAAUUUAAUCCUUGCAUUUCAUUUCAGAAAACAGUUAUUCGUUAGGGUGGACAGUGAGUGAAGGGACAAGAGUUGGAGGGCGUCUAUCCAGAUCAUCUCUCUUCACAGGUCUUUAGCCUAGAUGUCACUUCAUCCAGGAACCUUUUCGUGACACCUUAAGUAAAUAUUAAGAGCUCCUUGGGCUGACCCGUUGGUGCAGCGGUUAAGUUUGCACGUUCCGCUUCUCGGCGGCCCAGGGUUCACCGGUUCGGAUCCCGGGUGCGGACAUGGAACCACUUGGCACGUCAUGCAGCGGGCAAAGAAGAAAAUUACAUUUGGUAGUCUCUCUUGCCAUUAGAUUGGCUUCUAAUCACUUUCAAGUCUGUCCAUAAAUCAUGCUAUGUGAUACUCCAUGGGCUGGCUUUACCUACUGGCCUGCAGAAUACAGAGGAGCCAUUGGCCGACUCUGAGGAGGUCUAUGGAAUGGGGAAGCCACACGACAGAAAAAGCCUGGAUUAUUGCUUGAAAGUCAUUACUUGCAAGACAGCUGCCCAAGAUAGCUGCUUGACCUGCAUUGGCCUGUGACAUGAAUGACAAAUAAACUUUUAUUGUAUUGAA